UACGAGGGGAGCAAGCGUUGUUCGGAUUUACUGGGCGUAAAGGGCGCGUAGGCGGCGUGACAAGUCACUUGUGAAAUCUCCGGGCUUAACUCGGAACGGUCAAGUGAUACUGUCGUGCUAGAGUACAGAAGGGGCAACUGGAAUUCUCGGUGUAGCGGUGAAAUGCGUAGAUAUCGAGAGGAACACCUGCGGCGAAGGCGGCUCACUGGACGACUGUUGACGCUGAGGUACGAAAGCGUGGGGAGCAAACAGG
rnacentral:rRNA from 1 species